UUUCCGUAGGUGAACCUGCGGAAGGAUCAUUACCGAGUGAGGGUCUCUCAGGCCCGACCUCCCAACCUGUGUUUUUGUGACCUUGUUGCUUUGGCGCGCCCGCCUCGAUGAGAGGCCGCCGGAAGCUCACCUCUUUGGGCCCGUGCCCGUCAGUAGCCCCCUUAAAUUCUUAAUAAACCUGUCGUCUGAGUUAAUGGAUAUAAUGAAAAUAGACUUUCAACAACGGAUCUCUUGGUUCUG
rnacentral:misc_RNA from 1 species